UACGUAGGGGGCGAGCGUUGUCCGGAUUUACUGGGCGUAAAGCGCGCGUAGGCGGAGCGUUAAGUCCGGUCUGAAAGCCCCCGGCUCAACCGGGGAAGGUGGCUGGAAACUGGCGUUCUGGAGGGCGGCAGAGGCGUGUGGAAUUCCUGGUGUAGCGGUGAAAUGCGUAGAGAUGUGGAGGAACACCGAUGGCGAAGGCAGCCCCCUGGGGUCAAGAUUGACGCUACAUGCACGAAGGCGUGGGGAGCAACAAGGAUUAGAGUACCCCGAAUA
rnacentral:rRNA from 1 species